UACGUAGGGCGCAAGCGUUGUCCGGAAUUAUUGGGCGUAAAGAGCUCGUAGGUGGUUUGUUACGUCUGCUGUGAAAACCUAGGGCUUAACCCUGGGCCUGCAGUGGAUACGGGCAGACUAGAGGUAGGUAGGGGAGAAUGGAAUUCCCGGUGUAGCGGUGAAAUGCGCAGAUAUAGGGAGGAACACCGGUGGCGAAGGCGGCCGGACUGGGGCGCCCUGGACGCUGAGGCGCGAGAGCGUGGGGAGCA
rnacentral:rRNA from 1 species